rnacentral:rRNA from 1 species
UACGAAGGGGGCUAGCGUUGUUCGGAAUUACUGGGCGUAAAGCGCACGUAGGCGGCUCCUUAAGUUAGGGGUGAAAUCCCGGGGCUCAACCCCGGAACUGCCUUUGAUACUGGGGAUCUGGAGUCCGAGAGAGGUGAGUGGAAUUCCGAGUGUAGAGGUGAAAUUCGUAGAUAUUCGGAGGAACACCAGUGGCGAAGGCGGCUCACUGGCUCGGUACUGACGCUGAGGUGCGAAAGCGUGGGGAGCAAACAGG